rnacentral:rRNA from 1 species
CAAAAACAUAGCUGUAUGAUUAAAUAUCCAGUGUUUUCUGCUCAAUGAAUUUUAAAUAGCCGCAGUACCCUGACUGUGCUAAGGUAGCGCAAUAAAUUGACUUUUAAAUGAAGUCCUGUAUGAAAGAAAUUAUGGGGGACUACUUUCUCAUUUACAAUUAAAGAAUUUAAUUAUGAAGUGCAAAUUCUUCUAUAUAAAUAAUAGACGAGAAGACCCUAGAAAUUUUAAAGAAGUAACUUUUUGUUGGGGCAACAAAGUAGUAUAAUAAUCUACUAUUAUAACACGAACGAUAUAUCUUGAUAGAUUAAAUUACUCUAGGGAUAACAGCAUAAUUUAUAAUAGUUUGUGACCUCGAUGUUGGAUUAGGGAAUUUACAUUUAGAAGAUAACAGAUGUGCUCUGUUC